AGGACGAACGCUGGCGGCGUGCUUAACACAUGCAAGUCGAGCGGAAAGGCCCUUCGGGGUACUCGAGCGGCGAACGGGUGAGUAACACGUGAGCAACCUGCCCUUAGCUCCGGGAUAGCUCCGGGAAACCGGAAUUAAUACCGGAUAUGACCUAGGCCGACAUCGGCUGUGGUGGAAAGUUUUUCGGCUGGGGAUGGACUCGCGGCCCAUCAGCUUGUUGGUGGGGUAAUGGCCUACCAAGGCGACGACGGGUAGCCGGCCUGAGAGGGCGACCGGCCACGACUGGGACUGAGACACGGCCCAGACUCCUACGGGAGGCAGUAGUGGGGAAUCUUGCGCAAUGGGCGAAAGCCUGACGCAGCGACGCCGCGUGGGGGAUGAAGGCCUUCGGGCUGUAAACCCCUUUCAGCAGGGACGAAGCGAAAGUGACGGUACCUGCAGAAGAAGCGCCGGCUAACUACGUGCCAGCAGCCGC
rnacentral:rRNA from 1 species